UCUCUUUAUUCUUGGCUGUUUCUUGCUCGAUAAGGUUCUUCUUACGUUCGGUGAGAGAAUUUUUUUCCUCCAACAAUUCAGAAGCAUCUUCCUUAGCCUUCAUUUUUAAGCCAAUUUCUUUUUGAACUCGAUUGAUCGACUUGUUAGUGUUGUCGAGUUCGAAUCGAAGAGAAACCCAUUCUUUGUACAUUUCGAUAACUUUAUCAACAACGCCGACAUCGGCUCCACGUUUGCGCUGUGAUUCGCGGAUAAUUUC